rnacentral:rRNA from 1 species
UACGGGGGGGGCAAGCGUUGUUCGGAAUUACUGGGCGUAAAGGGCUCGUAGGCGGCCAACUAAGUCGGACGUGAAAUCCCCAGACUCAACCUGGGAACUGCGUCCGAUACUGGAUGGCUUGAAUCCGGGAGAGGGAUGCAGAAUUCCAGGUGUAGCGGUGAAAUGCGUAGAUAUCUGGAGGAAUACCGGUGGCGAAGGCGGCAUCCUGGACCGGCAUUGACGCUGAGGAGCGAAAGCCAGGGGAGCAAACGGG